AUUGAACGCUGGCGGAAUGCUUUACACAUGCAAGUCGAACGGCAGCACGGGGCAACCUGGUGGCGAGUGGCGAACGGGUGAGUAAUACAUCGGAACGUGCCCAAUCGUGGGGGAUAACGUAGCGAAAGCUACGCUAAUACCGCAUACGAUCUACGGAUGAAAGCGGGGGAUCGCAAGACCUCGCGCGAAUGGAGCGGCCGAUGGCAGAUUAGGUAGUUGGUGGGGUAAAGGCUCACCAAGCCUGCGAUCUGUAGCUGGUCUAAGAGGACGACCAGCCACACUGGAACUGAGACACGGUCCAGACUCCUACGGGAGGCAGCAGUGGGGGAAUUUUGGACAAUGGGCGCAAGCCUGAUCCAGCCAUUCCGCGUGCAGGAUGAAGGCCCUCGGGUUGUAAACUGCUUUUGUACGGAACGAAAAGGCUUUCUCUAAUAACAGGGGGCGUCAUGACGGUACCGUAAGAAUAAG
rnacentral:rRNA from 1 species